UACAGAGGGUGCAAGCGUUGUUCGGAAUCAUUGGGCGUAAAGGGCGUGUAGGCGGUUUGUUAAGUCAUGUGUGAAAUCCCUCGGCUCAACCGGGGAACGACGCAUGAAACUGGCAAGCUAGAGUACCAAAGAGGGUGGUGGAAUUCCCGGUGUAGCGGUGAAAUGCGCAGAUAUCAGGAGGAACACCGGUGGCGAAGGCGGCUUGCUGGGCCUUACCUGACGCUGAGGAGCGAAAGCGUGGGGAGCGAACAGG
rnacentral:rRNA from 1 species